AGCUAACAGUAUAGCUGUAUUUGUUUAUAAUUCAUUAUAUCAUAAAUAAUCUGCAAUUCAAACUGAGUGAUGUGACUCGAGAACAUUUCGAGACUUCUUAGGUCACAUGAGUGGAAACAGAGGCUAAUGUUAUCAGAUGUUGUUCGAGCCAGAAGCUGCUAGCCUAGCUAACUGCUAUUGAAGACCAUCCUAGGGGGACAGCUACAACAACAAAGAAGAGGCUAUAAACCAUCACAGUCGUUGUAUGUGUUCUUCAAAACUUGGCAACGCUGGUUGAAUGUUGACCACGGUUAAGAUAAUGACCGACACGAAACAUAGACACAUGUGACCAAGCAGCUAAUGUCUAUAGCACAUGAUCCUGGCCAACUGGAGGCUUCAAUAAUUCACGGGUUUCAGAAUAUCUACACUGAGUAGUAAAGGUCCUAUUUUCCAGAGGAAGAG
rnacentral:lncRNA from 1 species